rnacentral:rRNA from 1 species
GACGAACGCUGGCGGCGUGCUUAACACAUGCAAGUCGAACGGAAAGGCCCUGCUUUUGUGGGGUGCUCGAGUGGCGAACGGUGAGUAACACGUGAGUAACCUGCCCUUGACUUUGGGAUAACUUCAGGAAACUGGGGCUAAUACCGGAUAGGAGCUCCUGCUGCAUGGUGGGGGGUGGAAAGUUUCGGCGGUUGGGGAUGGACUCGCGGCUUAUCAGCUUGUUGGUGGGGUAGUGGCUUACCAAGGCUUUGACGGGUAGCCGGCCUGAGAGGGUGACCGGCCACAUUGGGACUGAGAUACGGCCCAGACUCCUACGGGAGGCAGCAGUGGGGAAUAUUGCACAAUGGGCGGAAGCCUGAUGCAGCAACGCCGCGUGCGGGAUGACGGCCUUCGGGUUGUAAACCGCUUUCGCCUGUGACGAAGCGUGAGUGACGGUAAUGGGUAAAGAAGCACCGGCUAACUACGU